AAGAAGAAGAAGGGCUAGGUCCUAAGUGAAAUAAAAGGAGAAGGGAUAAGGAAAUAAACCACAUUAGGAGUUCCUCUCUUGAGAUCAUAUUGAUGAUCCAAGUAACUCCCAUCCUUUGGAAUAAGCAAUCACAAGCAAAUAUUUCAAGCAAUCAAACACACAGAUCAUGCUUCUAAGAAUCCUCCAAUGGCUUUUGUUUCUUU
rnacentral:lncRNA from 1 species